UACAGAGGGUGCGAGCGUUAAUCGGAAUUACUGGGCGUAAAGCGCACGUAGGUGGCGACGUAAGUCGGGUGUGAAAGCCCCGGGCUCAACCUGGGAAUUGCAUUCGAGACUGCAUUGCUGGAGUACGGAAGAGGAGGGCGGAAUUCCCGGUGUCGCGGUGAAAUGCGUAGAUAUCGGGAGGAACAUCAGUGGCGAAGGCGGCCCUCUGGUCCAGUACUGACACUCAAGUGCGAAAGCGUGGGGAGCAAACAGG
rnacentral:rRNA from 1 species